CUCAGGCCCUUGAUUCCUCUGUAUUGUCCUCAGAGCAUGCACUUUGUAUUCAGAAGUUCCAAGAUUCUAAACCUAGUUAUACCAUUUACUAAGUGUGUGAUGCUUGCCAUCUGCUUAGUAUCCCUGAGCCUAUUUUCUCAUCUAUAAACUUGGCAUAGCCUUUUCUGGAUUGGGUACAAAAUAUAAUUACAUUCUUUGGAACACUCAGAUGAUUUAGGGUUCCCCCACUCAAACAAUUAUGAGAAUGUUGUUCUCUGUCCUUAUGAUCCUUCCUGCUGAGAAGACAUUUGAGUGAGUUUAUUCAGGCCAAGAAGUCAAUUCUGAAUAUUGUCAACUCCAAGGAAGGGACGCAGUGCACUUUCAGUCCUUUUGCUUGUUGUAAUGAACACACAGUGUCACUGAUAUAACUCAAUUGGCCUGUUCAUUCACAACAUCUUGUUUGUCCUUGUUGGAUCACCACUGCAGUGUGAUGGCUGGAAAGCUGAGUACAUCCCCUAUCCCCUACAAGAUGGGGUGCAGGAGUCUGCAGCUGGAUUGGAGGUUGGGUAUGAAGGAGGAAUCCCCCUUCCACAGUGUUAUGGAAGGUAGCUGCAGAAUCAGCUAGCAUGAUGAAAGAAAAGUCAGACAGGAUAACAGAUAUGCAGAGAACUACCCUCUACCUCGACUCCACAUGCUUCUAAAGAAGGAAUCUGUGUCUUCAGUCCCAGGAAGUAAAAAUUUAUUGAUCUAAACUCUGGAUGGACUAACAAGUAUUUCUCAAAUUGUGGUACAUAGACCAGCUGCAUUCACACCAGUUGGGAGCCAGAAACUCUGGGGCCCAUAACCCUUGUUUUAGCAAGC
rnacentral:lncRNA from 12 species